rnacentral:rRNA from 1 species
UUCAAAAUGACUCUCGGCAACGGAUAUCUCGGCUCUUGCAUCGAUGAAGAACGUAGCGAAAUGCGAUACUUGGUGUGAAUUGCAGAAUCCCGUGAACCAUCGAGUCUUUGAACGCAAGUUGCGCCCGAAGCCAUUAGGUUGAGGGCACGCCUGCCUGGGUGUCACA